rnacentral:misc_RNA from 1 species
GCAAUAGAUUUUACCAUUUUGGAAAUACUAAAAAGCAAAACCAACUCUUUUGUUCCGCAUUGAGGUUCAUGGUUUAGUCGGAAAAGCUCCGCGCUUUAGAUUUAUUUUGAAUCUAACUUGUGUGAAAAAAGUUAAUUUUAAAUAAAUAGUUCAUUUCCUGUUUAAUAUGUCUUUGGCAAAGACUGGUUGCUCGCCGGCAUAUAGGUUGAAUUUGAAUUUGUUCCAAACAUGAGUGCGAAUCUCAUAAGAAAACCUUUCAAGCUUGUAAGCGAAGACCGACAAACGAGGAAAGGAGUUGUCGUUAGUAACCUCGAAGAGUUGAUUUAUAAAGCCAGAACAAUCUUCAAUCUGGGGCCAGAUAACGUUCAAAUUUUACUUGAAAGAGAUGGAACUGAAAUAUUAGAAGAUGAAUUCCUAUUAUUUCUUGAAAACUUUACCGAUCUUGUAGUUGUUCAAAGCAAAUGUCAAAAAAUGACAAAUUGCCAAAGACUGGAUGUAUGCAAUGAGUCGGUAACCACAGAGCAGGAAUAUGAAGAUCACACAGAGGAAAUCCAAACCUCAUUGACCGAGGAAGCCAUGGUUCAUUAUAUUGUUGAAGAUGACAAGAUUAUUCGUGUUAACGAUAGCAAAGAAAGGGAACGCAAUUUUGAAAUAGUUUCUGGAGGGACUGACAAAGGAAGAGAUUUGUUACUCGACGACAUGGGGUACAGAUAUGGAAUUAAGGCCAAGAGUACAAGUUCAGUCAUCUGGCAUUGCACGGCACGUCCUGGAAAGACAAGCACUAGCGCAAUCGAUUGUCGAGCAACGGUUCGUCAAAAGAAUAACGUAUUUUCGUUUGGGAAAAGGCCUCAUUCCUGCAAACGAAGUCCUGAACUCAAUAAUGCAAUCAAAAUUCGUCGAGAAAUAAAAGAAAGGAUUGAUCGGGGCGAAGCAGCAGCAGCAGAAGAUGCAGUUAAAAUAGUUAAGGAAGUUAUGGCCAAGUAUCGUGAAAGAAAUGUUGAAGUUCCUCAAGAAUCUUAUCUCGUAAGAAUUGGCUAUCGUCGCCUCAAGAAAUUCCGAGAAGGUCGCCGCCCCAGCUGAUUGGGGCGUACAAUUUCAUUUAUGCCUCAUCAGGCAGUUCUUCGAGUGUCAUCAGCACCAAUCCUUUUAAGGAACUUAAAAGGACAUUUCAUUAAGUAGCUUUUCCCAUUUACUUGGAAGAAAACAAACUGAAAGCAAGACAAACGAGCUCAGUGUGAAGCCAUCCCAUUUAACAGCAGGAACCAACCGAGUUGAGAUUUACGUGAACUUUUUUUCUGUUGCGUUUGUUUUACCUGCCCUCUCUUUUUUUUUUUUUGUCAUUGAGAAGGUUGAUGUAUUUGUGUGGGUUAUUGCUUUUGUCUUCCCCUAUUUUACUCUUAUCCUUUAAAGCAUUUCAAUAUGUGUACAUGUGUGUUAUGUACAGUACAACACUAUGCUGUUUGGCCAUA